CCUACGGGAGGCUGCAGUGAGGAAUAUUGGUCAAUGGGCGGAAGCCUGAACCAGCCAAGUCGCGUGAGGGAUUAAGGCCCUGCGGGUCGUAAACCUCUUUUGCCGGGGAGCAGUGGUCCGGACGCGUCCGAACCGGGAGAGUACCCGGAGAAAAAGCAUCGGCGAACUCCGUGCCAGCAGCCGCGGUAAUACGGAGGAUGCGAGCGUUAUCCGGAUUUAUUGGGUUUAAAGGGUGCGUAGGCGGGCAUUUAAGCCGGCGGUAAAAUGUCGGGGCUCAACCCCGGUCUGCCGUCGGAACUGGGUGCCUUGAGUGGGCGAGAAGUAUGCGGAAUGCGUGGUGUAGCGGUGAAAUGCAUAGAGAUCACGCAGAACCCCGAUUGCGAAGGCAGCAUACCGGCGCCCUACUGACGCUGAGGCACGAAAGUGCGGGUACCGAACAGGAUUAGAUACCCGUGUAGUC
rnacentral:rRNA from 1 species